rnacentral:rRNA from 1 species
AUUCCGGUUGAUCCUGCCGGAGGCCAUUGCUAUCGGAGUCCGAUUUAGCCAUGCUAGUCGUGCGAGUUCAGACUCGCGGCACCGAGCUCAGUAACACGUGGCCAAACUACCCUACAGAGACGGAUACCCUCGGGAAACUGAGGUUAACCCGUCAUACCGAUCUCAGGCUUGAAUCGCAGAGAUCACAAAAUGCCCCGGCGCUGUAGGAUGUGGCUGCGGUUGAUUAGGUAGACGGCGGGGCAACGGCCCACCGUGCCCAUAAUCAGUACAGGUUGUGAGAGCAAGAACCUGGAGACGGAAUCUGUAGACAAGAUUCCGGGCCCUACGGGGCGCAGCAGGCGCGAAACCUUUACACUGCACGCACGUGCGAUAAGGGGACUCCGAGUGCGAGGGCAUAUCGUCCUCGCUUUCGUGUACCGUAGGGUGGUACACCAACAAGGGUUGGGCAAGACCGGUGCCAGCCGCCGCGGUAAUACCGGCAGCCCGAGUGAUGGCCGAUCUUAUUGGGCCUAAAGCGUCCGUAGCUGGCUCGCAAGUCCGUCGUG